rnacentral:rRNA from 1 species
GACGUAGGGCGCGAGCGUUUGUCCGGAUUUAUUGGGCGUAAAGAGCGUGUAGGCGGCUUGGUAAGUCCGCUGUGAAAGUCCAGGGCUCAACCCUGGAAAGCCAGUGGAAACUGUCAAGCUAGAGUCCGGAAGAGGAGAGUGGAAUUCCCGGUGUAGCGGUGAAAUGCGCAGAUAUCGGGAAGAACACCCGUGGCGAAGGCGGCUCUCUGGGACGGUACUGACGCUGAGACGCGAAAGCGUGGGGAGCGAACAGG